rnacentral:lncRNA from 1 species
CUUGGAGGUGAAGGUUUCAAUUUAGAUGCCAUCGCUUCCCUGAAGGAAUUAGCAAAUUGAAAAUAUGCUCAAAAGUCAAGUUUGACAUCGAGGCAUCCAUGGCCCCAUGAACUGGUUUGUAUGUAUGGAUCAGAGAUCAGAUAAAGUUUCAUGUGCCCCUGUUGAUGAUCCUGUUUUCAACCAAAUGGUUGGCAGUUGUCAGCGUUGUGGAGCUGGAUGCUCACGAAGAAAACUACCCUUCGCCCUGGGUCAUGGCAGAAAUGUGGGGCCUUGGACACCAGCUGUUCCCCAGGAGGUUUUCCCAGCUGCUGCUAUGGCCAACUCUGUGGUGGAGGAGCCCAGGGGUGGGGGAUUCCAAGAGCAGACAUUCCAUGUAGGAUGGAGCCAAACCAGGUCAAAGGCAGAACAGUUGAACUAUUUGGGAAACAGGUGGGAACAACGGAAAAUUCAUUUGGUUAAAUGUGUGCUUCAAUCAACACAAAAGUUAUCACAGUUGCUUGGUUUGGAAAG